rnacentral:lncRNA from 1 species
UGGUUUAGGUUCUAAACCAUUAAAACCAAAUCAAGUAUUCGUCUAGGGGGAGUCGGAUUUUGAACUUUCGGUUUGGGGAGAAAUAGGUUUACUUACUUAAAUUGUGUGGAAUUGGGAAUAGGUGUAAAGUUUGUGUGGAUCUGUUACUAUAUGAUAGUUAUGGUGUAGAAAUAGGUCGUUUACCCUUAAAAGGAAAAAAAGAAAGAAGAAAAGACAUAAGCAAGCCUGUUGAGUUUUUUUUUUUUUAAAGAAAGAAGAAAGACAUAAGCCUAUUUAGUCUUCCUAUCACGCUUUCUAAAAAUAACAAGAUCAGAAUAAACUUAUGUCUCUUGGAUUAGUGAUAAAUGUUCUUAAACCAAAAAAAAAAGAAAUUGCUGAUACAGAUAAAAUACAGCACGCCAGUUACAAAAAAAAAAAACCACGAAUUAAGUAACUAAAAGUUUAUUUAAAGCAUUACAUAAUUUCUUCUAGGUAUUAUAUCCACGGUCCUCACUGUGUUGGAUAUGAUGAUUUAUUCGCGACAGAUCCAUGCAAGCCGCCGAGAUCAAAACACCAUUUACAAAGGAAAACUGAUUUUGUAAAUAAAUAGGGAUAUGGGAAACAGUUACAAUUCAUUUGUAGGGUUUGCAGAAAAAGAAUUGUUGGUUGGAGAUUCAACAUA